GCGGCCGCUACGUCAGCGCCCCGGGUGGCGCCGCCUCCGCCCGCCGGCCUGGGCCCCGCUCCCGCCGCCGGGAAGGCGGGCCGCGGUAGAAGCUGGGGGCUGCCUUGCUUCCUCUUACGAUCCGGUGAAUUUCCCCGAUGCUCCGGCAAAAGUCAGGGGACCCGAGAGUAAACUGUUUGUUGUAGGACACAACUUACCUGGCAUUGGUGCCGCCCAGGACCCCUUAUUACAACCCAUAGACCCCCAAACCUUAGGAGCGGAGGACAGUCCAGUCUGUACAUCAGCUGUGUUCCUGGUGCACGUGGAGGCCAGAAGAGAGUGUCAGAUCUUCUUAGGCUGGAGAUGCAGACUCAUGUGAGCUGCCAUGUGAGUGCAGGACUUGAACACAGCAGCCAAAUACUUUUAAACCCUGAGCCAUCACUUCAGCAUCUCCCCAGCACCUUCUUUAAAACAGUCUCUUGUAACCAUAACUGAAAACUACCUUGAAGCCUGAAUACUCC
rnacentral:lncRNA from 1 species